CAGAGAACAUCGCCCUCACGGGUGACUCUCCAACCCAAUGUUAUAUUAUACCUUUGUUGCUUUGGCGAGCCGUCUCGGCCACCGGCUCACGCUGGUGAGUGCUCGCCAGAGAACCCAAAACUCUGAAUUAUAAUGCCGUCUGAGUACUAUAUAAUAGUUA
rnacentral:misc_RNA from 1 species